rnacentral:rRNA from 1 species
UACGUAGGGUGCGAGCGUUGUCCGGAAUUAUUGGGCGUAAAGGGCUCGUAGGCGGUUUGUCGCGUCGGGAGUGAAAUCCACUGGCUUAACUGGUGGCUUGCUUCGAUACGGGCAGACUGGAGGUAUGCAGGGGAGAACGGAAUUCCUGGUGUAGCGGUGAAAUGCGCAGAUAUCAGGAGGAACACCGAUGGCGAAGGCAGCCCCCUGGGCCAACACUGACGCUCAGGCACGAAAGCGUGGGGAG